rnacentral:rRNA from 1 species
CCUACGGGAGGCAGCAGUGGGGAAUAUUGCACAAUGGGGGAAACCCUGAUGCAGCAACGCCGCGUGAGUGAAGAAGUAUUUCGGUAUGUAAAGCUCUAUCAGCAGGGAAGAAGAUGACGGUACCUGAGUAAGAAGCCCCGGCUAACUACGUGCCAGCAGCCGCGGUAAUACGUAGGGGGCAAGCGUUAUCCGGAUUUACUGGGUGUAAAGGGAGCGUAGACGGCAGCACAAGUCUGGAGUGAAAUCCCCGGGCUUAACCCCGGAACUGCUUUGGAAACUGUGCGGCUGGAGUGCAGGAGGGGUAAGCGGAAUUCCUAGUGUAGCGGUGAAAUGCGUAGAUAUUAGGAGGAACACCAGUGGCGAAGGCGGCUUACUGGACUGUAACUGACGUUGAGGCUCGAAAGCGUGGGGAGCAAACAGGAUUAGAUACCCGAGUAGUC